rnacentral:rRNA from 1 species
GACAGAGGAGCCAAGCGUUGUCCGGACUGACUGGGCGUAAAGCGCCCGCAGGCGGCCGUGCACGUGGGGUGUGAAAGCGCUCGGCUUAACUGAGCGAGGCCAUCCCAUACGGCGCGGCUCGAGCCGUCCAGAGGCCGGUGGAAUUGCCGGUGUAGUGGUGAAAUGCGUAGAGAUCGGCAGGAACACCCAGGGGAAACCAGCCGGCUGGGACGUGCUGACGCUCAGGGCGAAAGCGUGGGGAGCGAACCGG